GACAUCAGAUUUAGUACAAGUAAAUGGUUCAUUUUGUUCAGUAAAAUAUUUAGUUGAAAGUAUAUAUAUUUAUUCUAGCCUCUGUACUUUCUGUUCUUACUGGUAUUCUGAUUGGUUGAAUAUAGACCAAUAUAUGAAAAUGCAGACUGAAAUCCGAAGUUUUCGCUAAAAAAAGUGCUAGUGCUAGUGCAAGUGCUUUCACUAAAAGUGCUACUGUGUUUCGUAAACAUUAUAUACACAUGUAUUAAUGAUAUUUACGUAUACGUAUGUGAUAUACAGGGCAAUUAUCGUAUCCAACUUGCAAGAGACUACAUAUUUCCUCAAAGAUGUGUCAUAAACGCUAUAAGUUGUGACGUCCUCUCAUUGAUCGUCACAAUUAUGUAACAUAUACAUAUAUUAUCGACGAUGUCUCGAAUAAAGUACGUAAUAAAUUAAUGUACCAUUAAAAUAUGAUACAAUGUAUUGCAAGCCUCUAGUACAAUAGCAAUUAACGGAAGGCACGUUUCUAGAAUGCAAAAGUAACCAAUUAUUGCAGAGGGCAAUAGUAUCAAUAUAUCUGCUUUUUAUAUCUUAUUUUUAAUACUAAAGUUUAUUAAAUGCAGAGAAUAUGUCCCGUUAAUAUAUACACAUGUAGCAGUAGACACUCCAAGUGAUUCGCUCAUUUACAGACAAACGAUUAUUUUUGGAUUUUAUGACACUAUGACAACAGAUCCAGUUUGAAAUCCCUUGUUGGCAAUACGGUGCAAGAUUACAUGGAAUAAAAGAAUUGUGAAGUCUACAAAACGUAACGCGAAAAUUUCUCGUAUCUCUUCUACUAUCUCAUUAUAUAAAGAACCUCCAUUUCUUUUCAUGAAUGCGGUCUUUCGUAACUGUCUCCGCUAUUCUUUUUAUUCUUUUUUUCGAACUUCUCGACUGAUUGUGAAUGCGGAGUCGAUUUUUCAACUAAAAUUGAACUUUUUCCUGAUUUUUCUACUUUGGAUGUAAAAGAUAUUCCAUACUUGUAUAAUUGUAACAUCUUAUUGAAAUAUGUAUUUCCAAAACGGGUAAUCCAUUUACUUCACUUACUCUUUUUACACACACACACACACACACACACACACACACACACACAAACACACUUUCA